rnacentral:lncRNA from 1 species
UUCACUAUCAUCCUUAGAAAAAAAGAAUUACGUAUCUUAGAGAUGAAAUAAAACUACUUCUCCGGGAAAAGGUAUCCAUAGUAAUAUUGUUAAUAUGUAGAAGAAAAAUCUAAAUAUAGGAUUUUUCUUUAUGUAUCAAUAUUAUGAAAUAAAGAAUAUUGUUUUGUACCCUCUUUUCUAAGUUUUAAAAUAGUUCCAAGUGAAGAUUGUGUUCAAAGUAGCCACAGACAAGAUGCUUGUAAAGACAAAAAUAAUGUUCAUUGCCCGAAGGAGAACAACUGUUGUGGUAAUAAGGCUAUUUUAAGGAGAGAAUAAGAGAGGUAUAUAUAGAAAAAUCUUUACUUCGUAAUAUUAGUAACAUAUAGUUAUAAUCUAUAUCAUCUUAUUAAUCUACAUAUAAGCAUACUACUUUAGAUACUAAGUACCUAUCGGGAGUUUAUCAUCUUGAUUAAUCAUACAGUACUGUUUAUAACAUUAUUUUUAUACUAUAAGUAUAAAUGAUAAAAGAUGAUGAUUGAAGCUCAAUAUCAUCUAAAGUUAGCCCUAAAAAGGUUAUGGAAAUAUCUAAUAGCCUUAAAUAAUCUUGAUGAAUUUAUCAUUGAGUUGGUAAAAGCCUACAAAACUGUAAAUCAACAUUUAUCUGUAUAGGAAGGAUUAUACAUAAAAUUCAAAUGAUUAGAGCACAAGAAUAUGUCUUGUAUCUAGAGGAUAAAAAUAAUAUUGAUAAAAAUAUUAUCUACACCACUUAAAUGAGCAGUAUAAAUUUCCUUCCGCAUAUUUACCCUAUAUAUAUAUAUAUACACAUACAUACAUACAUACAUACAUAUAUAUAUAUAUAUUAACUAAUCACCUGAAUCAUUUACAAAGCAAUCUAUACCACAUAGUUAGCUAAGUCUCACUGCUAGGACAACCACCCUAUCAAAAUACUACAACUAUCAACCCCAACAAACUAACAAAGUUGUCACUCUAAUGGUUGUACUACAUCUUUUGCAAAUUUGGAGCUCUAAAAUUAUAAGCAUAUGCAACAUUCUUAGUUAACCUGAAGUCAUCUACAAGAUUGGUGUUCAAAAAUUCUAAGCUUUCGCUCUUUCAAAUAGUGUGCUCAGUUUCAGCAACUACAAAUUGGAAUAUUUGGGCUAUUUAAGUAUUCCCCUUUUCACUCUUGUGUAUCAAUUGGAAAUAAAGGUCACAAUAUCCUCGUGUCAUCUUUUAUAUGCAUUCAAGUCAACACUUUAUGCCACAAUAGCCUCACAAAUAGAUACUAUAUACAAACAUGUAUUCUUUUGUUUCUCUUACAUGUUGAAAGAUGGAACAUAUGGGUUCAACCUUCACACCCCACUUGAUGAGCCUGACUUUGGUGAGCAACUUUGAUUGCAUAAGUAGCCACUAGUGAAUAUGGAUUUAGGUCUAGCAAGGUUGUCAACCAUCAAGCACUUUCAUGGCAUUCGAUCUAGCGCUCUCCCCAAUCAUUCCAAGAUAAAUUUAUUUUGUAAUACCUUAUUGUUUCUUUAUCAUGUGUUGCACUUGGUACCACUCUCUCCUAGCUUUCAAUAUUUUCCUUGUAAUCCAAUAAACUUGAGGAGGAAUAUUGAUAGCCUGCAGGUGAUGCUCCUUUAUGUAAUAAGUGUGUAUCCACGUGGUCUUCAUCUUAUCUUCUUUAUUUGUAAGAUCACAUAAUGUUUUUGUUAAGACAAUGUUGUUUCAUAGCUUUAAGUUUAUGAUGUUUAUUUAUCCCUUUUGCAGACUUGGGUAAACAUAUCCUAUCUCAAGCAACUAAAACUUUCUUGUUGUAUUUACUCCAAUCCAUUUUACCACCCUAUAAGGUGGAAAGAACAAUCGAGACCAAUUAAAUUGAGUACCAAACACUAUUAUUUGCAUUACCUGAAUUCUGUCUGCAUAAGAUAACUUCUUAGCUGUCUAUAAAGAAAUUCACUUCAUAAUCUUCCCAUAAGUGGUUGCCACUAGAUCAUAGUCAAUUUCUUAAUGAUAUUGGAACAUCUAAAUACUUAAAAGGUAAUUUUGUGUACCAACUUAUGCUAGCAUCCAUAUUCUUUUGUACCAUUGAAGAAUUCGACUGGCUAUCCUCCUACUUUGGGACCUGGUCCCAAACAAACAUAAACACCAAGAAUUUAAAUAGAAGAGUAUGUAACAGUAAAUAAACAAGGAACAUAGCAAAUUUUAGGUGGAAACUCCUUGCUUAAGGGAGAAAAACUUCGACCUGCCUUAAGGAUUUCCAACAGCUCCACUAAUAUUCAAGAAACCUUGAAUAUAGGCUCCAUGACAUCAAUGAUUAAACUCCUAAUUCUUCAUCAAAUAUUAAUACCUCUAUUACAAUGAACUCAAUGCAAUAACUCUAUUGCACACUGACCCAACUAACUCUAACUGAAUCACAAAGCUAACUCUAGAUUUUGUCAACUAAAUCUACAUAACAUUUUACCAAAAUAAUAAAAAGGAAAGCACCUAAUGAUAAUGAACUUAAAGUAGUACGCAAUGUUUCUAGACUCAAAAAUGAAGACUCAAGACAACAAGAGUUCUAAGGGACUGGCAAUGACUAAGUAGGUCCCUUAUUGUUGAUAAGCUUUUGAAUCAGCAAAGCUUCAACAGAUUUGAUGUGUUUUGGGAUAUGGAUGCAUUAAGUUUUUUUAUUGUUGAAAUGAGCAUUUAUAAGAGACAAGAAAACCUAGGAUUAAUCUUAUUGGUUGAGACAAAAAGGGUACAAGGCUUUUCAUCAACUUUUCUACGGUGUACUAUGUCCAUCUAUAGUACUGACCAAUGUCAAUGACGUGAAAUACGGUCAACUAGGUCCUUAAGUAGUUGUCGCUUUUGUCAUCACAAGAUCUUCAAGAACCAGGUCCCAAGGGAUAAUUUGUCAAUCAUCAAACUAAUGACUACACAGACUAUACCCCUCAUCUACACAUUAUACCCCUUAUCUUCCCUCUUUUGGAAUCAUAAAAGUCCUAAAAUAGUGAACCAAGUAGAGAUAAGCACACAUGUUAGCACAUGGACAUGGAGGCUACACUGACAUGAGCACAAAAAAUAAGAGAAAGUAAGAGAGAUGAUAACACAAAGCAGAUUCAUUCAUUUUUCAUAGAGGAUAGCAUCAUACAAAAUUUAAAAAAGAUAAUAGCAUUAAAAAACAAAAAUAGUAGUGUCAACACAACAAGAAAAAAACUUAAGGAGGCCAGACUUGGCGAGGCUUAAAAGGGGAAAAAACUGAGGACUCGAUUAGGGAGACACCUAGGAGGAAUGACCGAAAGGAGUUUGGGACAAUUAGUGAAGAAGCAUGGUUAUUCUCUCACUUUCUGGAAUAUGAGUCUUUAGGAGUUGUUGAGUUAAAUCCUUGAUAUUUGCAGUCGAAACCUCAACUUUUGCCUCCAAUUUCUUUAGAUUCUCAUACAAUUCUGCAUUUUCAGCACUUAAUUCUCUAUUGAACCUAGUCCCUCAUCGCUCCUUUUCACUAAGGAUGCCUUCAGAGAAAAAAAUUCUAUAUUUUUUUGUGCUACAAUGGCUUCCAUCUCAUCCAAUUAUUCCCCCAUCCCAGUUUGAACAUCAAUAAGCUCGACAACUAUGGAUUUGGAUUUCCCUUCACCUCUGCUAGGGAUGCAUUCAUUAUCAUCCAUGGUUGUUACAUUGAACACUUGAUUUACUGAACCUGUCUUUCAAAGGCCACACUAAUGUUAAAGUACAAACAGAUUUGGUUAAUCCAAAACACAUAGUUCAAUCCAUGUUUUCUAUCUUUUAUUGUCAUCACUGUGUUUAUAUGCUCAAUCACAGUAGCUAGGAAAUUUACCUUUUGAUAUUUGUACAUGGCCUUCAUAAAUGUAAUACCCCGACUUCCUUUAAGUCAAAUCUAGUCUCCAGAAGAGUUACUGAUGACAUCCUAAAUGAUUAAUAUUUAAAUCAGAUAGAAUUUCCCCAUUCCAUCAAAAUCUGACAUGGGAAUUUGAAUAAGCUUUCCAUCGAUACCCAUUCCGUCAAAAUCCAACGUAGAAAGAGAAAUUUAUGGCCAAAAUACAGAAAUCAGUCAAAACUGCCCAGGUGUGACGGUAGAGGCCGACGGACCAUCAAGCUAGCGAUGGACCGUCGCCCAAGCUAUCGCAGUGAAG